GAUAGGGUGGCAGAUUAAUGCAUCAGAUUUAAGCUUUGAAGAUAAAGGAUUAAUCCUUUUCCUGUC
rnacentral:tRNA from 1 species